rnacentral:rRNA from 1 species
UACGUAGGAGACGAGCGUUGUCCGGAAUUAUUGGGCGUAAAGAGCUUGUAGGCGGUUUGUCGCGUCUGCCGUGAAAUUUCGAGGCUCAACCUCGAACUUGCGGUGGGUACGGGCAGACUAGAGUGUGGUAGGGGAGGCUGGAAUUCCUGGUGUAGCGGUGAAAUGCGCAGAUAUCAGGAGGAACACCGGUGGCGAAGGCGGUUCUCUGGGCCUUACCUGACACUGAGGAGCGAAAGCGUGGGGAGCGAACAGG